GACGAACGCUGGCGGCGCGCUUAACACAUGCAAGUCGAACGGAAAGGCCUGCUUUCCCUUGUGGAUUGCGGGUACUCGAGUGGCGAACGGGUGAGUAACACGUGAGUGAUCUGCCCCCAACUUGGGUAUAAGCCUGGGAAACUGGGUCUAAUUCCCGAUAGGACUGCAGGGUGGUGCCUGUGGUGGAAAACGAUUUUCUAGUGGUUGGGGAUGAGCUCGCGGCCUAUCAGCUUGUUGGUGGGGUAAUGGCCUACCAAGGCGGCGACGGGUAGCCGGCCUGAGAGGGUGGACGGCCACAUUGGGACUGAGAUACGGCCCAGACUCCUACGGGAGGCAGCAGUGGGGAAUGUUGCACAAUGGGCGGAAGCCUGAUGCAGCGACGCCGCGUGGGGGAUGACGGCCUUCGGGUUGUAAACUCCUUUCGACCGCGAGGAAGCCACCUGGUUGGAAGGGUGGUGACGGUAGUGGUAGAAGAAGCACCGGCUAACUACGUG
rnacentral:rRNA from 1 species